ACUGGGUGUGUUGGUGCGUGCCUGUAGUCCCAGCUACUCAGGAGGUUGAGGCAGGAGGAUUACUUGAGCCCAGGAGUUCAAGGCUGCAGUGAGCUAUGAUUGUGCCACUGCAUUCCAGCCUGGGCAACAGAGCAAUACCCUAUUUCAA
ensembl:misc_RNA Metazoa_SRP Metazoan signal recognition particle RNA